CGUCCCGGGGCCACUAAACCGGCCUUUCCAGCCGCAGCCUUGAGACCUGUGCCCCUGCGGUGCCAGAACCUGUCCCCAGCCCUCGUGGAAAAGCCGGGGUGGCCACAGCGCCCACGCGAGGGCCGUGCCUCUGGGUCUGGAGCUCCGAGCUCCUUAACCUGGCUCCCAAACCUCAGUUUCCCCCCACCGCGUUGUGCCGUGGUGACCCUGACCCUGGCCUACCUCAUCUGGGUUGCGACAAGGUUAAGUGGGAAAAAGAAAGGCAGGGACAAGUGUCAAUUGUAUUUUUCGUUCCUCUAGGUCAUCGCUACUGUUCUUUAUGUUACUUCCCUCACACGAGCUUGUGCUGGCCUCUUUCCAGUCUGGCUUGUGUGUGGGACAGUCGAGGCAGGCUUUACUCACAGACCUGUAGGUGGCUGACUCCUGCUGGGCCUGCUCGCGACUGGGUUCUCACUUUUGCGCCCUUUCUCUCUCUGUCUCUCUCUCUCUCUCUCUCUGUAUCUCCCCCCCCCCCCCCACUUCCUUCCUUCCUCAUUCAUUAUUUGCAUUUGUCAAAGUUUCCCAGGCUGGCCUCGAACGCGUGAGCAGUCCUGCCUCAGUUCCCCCUACUCCUGGAAUGACCAACGGUGAGCUACGAUGCCCAGCCUGUGCCCUCGGUUUUUGUUUGGUUGGUUUUGUUUUGCUUUGUGUGUGUGUGUGUGUUUGUGUAGCUUUAAAGUUCCGAUAGUAGAGUCCCCAUUGCUUUUAAGCAUUACCCUCUGAACUGCAAUCACAGUCUGCAAGGCAGAGAGGUCAGUGACCUCGAUGUUUGUAAAUGAUGUCAUUGCCGUCUGCCAGCAGCCGGACAGGUGGCGAUGGUUUAGGGAAAAUUGAAGGUGCAGAUGGCGAUCACCGGUCUGCAAACGUGGAGUCGGUAGUUUUGUGUCUGAAAAGAUGAUUGCCGCACGACCUUCCUGGGACCCUCUCUUCCUGCUACAAAGAAAAGUCCUUGUGGUCUGUUUGGUCUUUAACCCUUCUGAAUUGCCGCUGAGGCGACCGACCGUGACUGCCAGGGCGGGCGGGGAGGAAACCGAGACAGGUCCCUGGCCACCCACACCUACCUCACCCCGCCCACAGCCGCUGCAGCUGGGACACCAGGAGUUAGUUGGAAAGCCCCCGGGUUUCACCAGGCCUAACCACCGAGCUCUUGGCACAAGCUGCCCUCCACCGAGGAGCUGCAGUCUGGCCUUUUCCCCUGCCCGCCCUCCAUGUAGACACCCCAGCCUGCGUCCCAAGGCCAAGCAGCAGCCCCUUAAAAUCGAUGUGUGCCCCCGCAGUCCCCACACAUGCGGCAGCCACCGGCCGCCUAUAUCCAGGUGGAAACAGAAUCAGAGAGGCAAAUGCUAUAAAUAUCCGCGUCCAGCAGCAUGCAGCCUGAGCACUGGGGCAGCGGCUCCCCACCCGUGGGCUCCUGGGGCCAGGCACUUCCGGCCAUCAGUCUCUCUGAGGUGAGGGGAUGAGAAUUUCAUCAGUAUCAGAGGCCUGGGUUUCCUCUCUUUCCCCAAGAGAGGUUUCUUCUAAGGGCCCCACCUGAACCUUUGUCCUCUGCCCUGGGCCUACCUCCCUAACUCACAAGUCCCUUUCCUUCCUCUCUCAAUCUGUUCAGACCUCCAGGGUGUGCUGGAGGUGGCCGGGUCUCUAAGAAAUGGAGGGUGCUCUUUGAAUGGGUGAGAAGGGCAGCGGUGGCGCAGGCCUUUAAUCCCAGCACUCGGAAAGCAGAGGCAGGCGGAUCUCUGUGAGUUCGAGGCCAGCCUGGUCUAUAGAGCAGGAUCUAGGACAGGCACCGGAACUACACAGAGAAACCCUGUCUCAAAAACAAAACAGCAUGAAUGGGUGAGAAAUGCCUUUAGUUUAAAAGGGGAGAGGAGGACAGGAAUGUAACUCAAUUGGUAAAGUGCUUUACUAGCCGGCCUAAGCCCUAGGUUCAAGCUCCAAUGCCCCAUAAACCAGAUGUGGGGGUACACAUCUAUAAUCAGAAGGUAGGAGCAGGAGGGCUGGGAUGUUCAAGACCAUCCUCUGCUACACAGCAAGGUCAAGGCCAGCCUGGGAUACAUGAGCCUCUAUGUCGAAAAGAUAAAAUGUGACACUAAAUUUCUGAUCAGAGGUAGCAGACCUACUAGGGCCAAAGCUUUGUAAAGUAUAUGUAAAAAAGGGAGGUAACUCCACCAGAAAAUGAGGGCUGCUUGCCCCAGCAAGCUGGUGGCAGUUUGGUGGGACUUUCUGAACUGGCUCUGCUAGGUCUGGAGUCUGGUGAGACACAGUCCAUGCCAUUCAAGAGGGUCCCGUUUUUCUCUCAGCUCCAACAGAGGGAAAACAGGAGUUAGGAAGGGCCACCACCGAGGCUCGGGGACCCAGACACCGUUUUUCCAUAGGGUGUUCAGCAGCCUGCCGGCUUGGAGGAAGGGCUGAGGGAGUUGGGCAGCUCGAAGAUAAAUAGCAUGGCUCCACAGCACCGGUCUUCAAAUGGGGCUGCAAAAAUAAACUUUAACUAGAUAAGUAAAUCCCUAUUUAAAGGAGAGUGGGUAAGUCUUCUAAAAAUACAGUCUCAUCUCUCCUCCGCUGUGAGAGCUGGCUCUAGACAAGGCUGGGGGAAGAAAAAAAACCACUGCGAGCAUUGAAUCCUCCCGAGAAGGUACUGUUAACUCCCCAUGUUACAGAGGUAAAAAUGGUACAGAGGUAAAGAUGAAAUUCUAACCCUUGGGAAGCUGAGAGAAGAGAGUGGCGAUGAGUUCUAGGCCACCCUAGGAAACAGACUUUGAAUUAGGGAAACAGAGAGAGAGAGAGAGAGAGAGAGAGAGAGAGAGAGAGAGAGAGAGAGAGAGAGAGAGAGAGAGAAACUUGAGGGGAUUGCUGCUGGGGGACACACAGGCUAAGUAACUUCUGAUGGACACUCAGCUAGCAAGGAUACCUGAACCCCAGCAUCUUGUUCCAGGGCCAUGUGUUGAGGAUAGUAGCCCCGACUGUUUCUCUAAACUGGAAAGGACUCCCUGAAGUCUUUGGCUGUCUUUCACGAGGACAACCUUCCUGUCGCCAGCAGCUGCCUCUAGCAGACCCACCUGUAAGCGGAUCCCUGCUGGUGUUAUACGAGGAAGUGAACCAGAGUCAAGAGAUAAGAAUGAAAACCCAGUACAGACCGACUUCACCUGGAUCAGACUUCGGGGCGUCUAAUAACAGACAGAGCCCACUGUAGAAAAACUACAACCAAUCAACACGCAGACUUAUGGAGCCCAGGCCCAGUGGAUACAUCUACAAAGGCUCAGGAAACCAGAAGAGGGGAUGGAAAGAUGGGAGCCUGGAAGAUGCUGAGAGCAAUGUAGAUGAUGGAGGCCUGGCCUGUGAAGUUUCAGAGGGAAGCAGAGACCCUACCAGGCCUUUUAUGUGAAGAAUCUGUGGUGUCUGGUCAGCUGGAGCUGAAGAAUCGGCUGUGAUUAACAAGAGACCAGAACCAAUAAAGUAAAACCUUGCUUUGCUGGGGUAAUGGAUGCUGGUCAGCUGGGGCUGAAGAAUCAGCUAUGAUUAAAAAGAGACCAGCAUCACUGAAGUGAAGUCUUCUGGCGAGUGUUUCCUCCCCAGAUGCUGUGGUCCUGCUGGCAGCUGAACUUGGUAGUAUAAGAGUCACCCAAGUGUUGGGUGGUGGUUGCACAUGCCUUUAAUCCCAGCUCUUGAGAGGCAGAGGCAGGCAGAUCUCUGUGAGUUCGAGGCCAGCCUGGUGUAUAGAUCGAGUUCCAGGACAGCCAAAGCUACACAGAGAAACUCUGUUUGGGGGUGGGGGUGGGGCAGUCACUCAGUGGUACUGGUUUUGAAGGCAUGAAAAGGGUCAUGGAGAGCAGCUGAGUCUUGACACUGUGUGGCUGGGCUUGAGUCCCUGAAGAGAGCCCAGGAGAGGCUAUUGGUGAAGCUGCAUCCCAGUUGCAGCAAGAUACUCCAGCAUUUUUGGAGAUGCCAGUACCAUGGGAUAGCCAAGAACAGCAGCAGCCGUGGAGUGGGGCCAGCUGGAACCUAGAAGACAAGCUGUGUGUGCUGCAGAGGGCAGAGCUGGAGAGGUGACCCAAGCCCCUUGGAGGAGCCCAGAAGAUGAAACAGAAAGAUCACUCACAAGAACCCCGCUCUGUCUACGAGCUUCAUCCUGGUGUGAAGGGCUUUUCCUGAGGGCCGAUUAAAGAAAAUGAGAUGUGUUAAGGAGAGAAAACAUGACUCUUGAAAACAAGGCGUCCGAUGAUGCCAGAGCACAGCAGAGGGUUCUGGGCUUCUAGAAAACCACCAGAUGAGAAACCAUUGCUCGGGCGGCUGCCCUGACACUGGAGCCAGCACCAGAAACCUCACCUCCCUCCCAAGACCUUGCCUUCUCUCUCGUGCAAGUCAGCACAAGCAGCAAGCACUGCUUACUUACUGACCCCAGGUCCUUCCCCUGUCCCGGAAGUGCCCCGGGGAAUGGACGAGGGAAUGCCUGGAGGUGAUUACUGCUUGGACUCAGACUCUGAGUGAGCCCAAAGGAAUGGGCCUGGCUCCCAGUUAGGACUAAGCCAAGCCCCAAAGAGGAGCUAAGUGAACACAAGGCCCUAGUGAUUAACUGAGGUCUGGGCAGCCAGGAACUGAAGCGCGCACCCUCAUUUACCAAGAUGGCGAGCAGCUGCGCUCUCUGAAACGUGGACCACGGAUCAAAAAAACCUCUUCCCUUAAGUCAAAGGGUUUUCCUGCCAAAGCAGUUUAUUGUGCAUGCAGAAAGGAGCAGAGUGAGGACAGAUCUUUGCUUUUAAGAAUUCACUGAGCCCCAGUUCGUCCUGCCCAUGAGAGUGGGCCAUCCACUAGAGCGUGGUUGACCUACCAGGGGUCAUUUCCGUAAGGAAAACUGACUCUCCAGUCCCAGGAGCCAUCAGCUGUCCAUAACUCCUCAGGAUGGGGGCUGGUGAGUCCUUUGUGAGUCAAGGUUUUGCAUGGAGGUGUGGGAGGUAAGCUUUCAGCCAGACUGGGGCUUCCGGCUGCCUUGGUCUGCCCUAAUAUCGGGGAGGAUUUCAGCUCUGGUUAUUUGAAUGCAGUAGACCUUUUUUAGCAAUGGCCCAUGUGUGUCCACAAAGCCCCGGAUGUACACGGUGAAGUGGGGGGAGGAGCAGAUGUGGUGAUUCUAGAACAGGAAACUCAUUAGUCAGGAAGGAAAACAUACCUGUCCGACCUUCUUUAAAGCCAGUGGUUAAUGUGCCAGAGUCAGAAGCAUCACAACGUUGAGACCAUGAAAAGGAGAGAAGACAGACAAGAAGGUUCGAGACCCCUGCAGAGAGUUUCCAUGCUGGGUAAGGGGCUUUUCCUCACAUUUCCCCCAAUUAACAAAUGGAGAAGAGCUCCUGAACCCCAGCACUCAGACUCAUCACCACCAUCUGCCUUGUCCAGCUUGUGGGUCCUAAGAUCACCUUGCUAACUCCCCUAAGACUUUGGCAUCCCACUCUUGAGGAGCUCUCCCCCACCCACCGUAUCCCACCCCCAUGCCCGAUCCUGAAUUCCUUCCUCUUUGCCCUUUUAGAGUUCCUAAUCCAAGGUGGGCUGAUGUGAGAAAUCGACAGAGUCCACUUAAAGGGCAAAGGAAUUUAUCAGGGGAGAAAAAUUCACUGUACAGAAGAAAAUCGCCACAGGUUCUGGAACGCUGGGGCACAGUUGCUCGAGGUUCCAGCCAUCUCAGUCAGUCCCGCAUCCAAGCCCACCAGGGAGAAAAGAGAACUGUGCAUCUCAGGCCUUAAGGGUAGUGGAGAGGCCACACCCCAGGGGCAUGUACUUCAAGGUCAUAGGCAGGUAGAGCAGUUACCUGCUAGUCUCUUGGGCUGCACUAGAGACACCCACUACAGUGGGCUAAUGUCCUUGAUCCUCAAUCUAGUCUCUAAGCCUACUCACAUAUUUCUCACCAUACCCCUCCUGGCCUCUCCUCACCCUCUUCUCAAACAGGGCACUGUUUUUCUCUCUCAACACAUCGCUAGACCUGGACAUGCAUGAGUCAGGUGACCUGCUAAGUUUCUCUUUAUUUCUCCUUCCACGCUAUGUUGAAUUUAUGUCGUCGGGUUAUAUAAACCACUACUGCCUUCCCUGGUCCCCCAGAGAUCAUUUUUCUAGUAUAUUAGAUCCUAGUUUUCCUCCACUCUUGGCCUUUUCACACCAUUUUACUCUAGUGGUGACUUCAACAUGUACAUAUAAAUGACCCUGCCCACGUCCAACCUCGAAGUCCAUUGAACUCCCCUCCACCAGUGAUCACUCAGCCCAUGCCUGUGACUGCCGGCAAUGGCACCUCGUUCAUGAUCCCAGUUCUCUGUACCCGUUCUUACAGCAGCCUGUCUUUCAUGUCCUCACUGCACCCCUCCUUUGGCCCCCUCAGCACGUCUCACCUCCCAGUCCCUCCACCCUUAACUGUUGUUUCCGCUCCCUUCCCAACCCAGAAUCAGUUCCAUGGUCAGCCAUGACACCCGUGUGGCCCCAGGGCAUGCCCUCAACUGUUUGUGCUCCCCUUUGUCAUAUCCAGCUGGCGUGAAAGCAGACUCUUGUCUGUCUCUGCCUGUGAUGGUUGAAUACAGCUAGAGGAAAACACAGGCCUACUUCAGGAGCUAUGAUGAUGAUGAGCUGGGUGGCCUGGUUGGUUUUAUGUCAAUGUGACGCAAGCUAAAGUCAUCGAGAGGAGAGAAACUCAAUUAAGAGAAUGCCUGCAUCAGAUCUGGCUGUACACAACCCUGCAGGGCAUUUUCUUAAUUAGUGAUUGAUGGGGGAGGUCCCAGCACAUUGUGAGUAGGGCUACCUGGGCUCUAUAAGGAAACAGGGUCCUGGGUUCUAAAAGGAAACAGGCUGAGCAAGCCAUGGUGAGCAAGUCAGUAAGCAGCACUCCUCCAUGGCCUCUGCAUCAGUUCCUGCCUCCAGGUUCCUGCCCUAUGUGAGUUCCUGCCCUGACUGCUUUUAAUGAUGAACUGUGAUAUGAAACUGAGUGAAGGAAACCCUUUGCUCCCCAAGUUGCUUUUGGUCAUGGUGUUUUAUCACAGCCAUAGUAACCCUAACUAAGACACUGGGGGUGCAGUUCAGUUAACAGAGCGUGUGCACAAAGCUCUGGCCUCAAUCCUCCGCACUGCCAAAACCUAGCAUGGUAGAGCAUGUCUAUAAUCUCAGGACUCCGGAGGUAGAGGCAGGAGGAUCAAAAAAUCAAUUUGGCUACGCGGGAAGUUUAAAGUCACCCUGGGAUACAUGAGACCCUGUCUGAAAAAUAAAUGAGUAAAUAAAUUUAUGAGGA